CAGCAGCAGCCGCGGUAAUACAGAGGGUGCGAGCGUUAAUCGGAUUUACUGGGCGUAAAGCGUGCGUAGGCGGCUAAUUGAGUCGGAUGUGAAAUCCCCGAGCUUAACUUGGGAAUUGCAUUCGAUACUGGUUAGCUAGAGUGUGGGAGAGGAUGGUAGAAUUCCAGGUGUAGCGGUGAAAUGCGUAGAGAUCUGGAGGAAUACCGAUGGCGAAGGCAGCCAUCUGGCCUAACACUGACGCUGAGGUACGAAAGCAUGGGGAGCAAACAGGAUUAGAUACCCCCGUAGUCCUGUCUCUUAUACA
rnacentral:rRNA from 1 species